UAUGAAUUAAACACAUCUGUAGGGUCACUGCUUGUCGGGGACCUUACCGCUUUGUAAAUUAUAUCAUUGGCAUCGUCUAAGAAACCAAGUCAUUCAAUUUACAAAUAGCUGAGAGGUGCUUUUUGGAAAAUGUUAAUUAGUGUCUGUGUUUCGACCAAUGAAAAAAAUUGCAAGCCAGACAGUUAUGCGCAGACGUCUCGAUUUUGACAUUGGAGUCGGACGUGAUUGGCUGGGUGUAAAUCUGAGAAUGACAUGGGGAGAUAACUCUGGUAAUCUUGUGCAUCAAUAAUCUAAACCAUGGAAUACACAGAUGCAAAACUGAAAACGGUCACAAUUUUGACAAAUGAGCAUCACUGGUAAUUCAUCUGUCACCUUUCACCUGUGUUGACCGCAAAAGGAACAUCUGGAAUGGUAUUGUGGCACUCGAAUAUAUCUGCUCAACUUUCAAUAUUGGAUAACGUCUAUAAUGCAGUCACGUGAUUCACCCCGUCCAUUUUUUUCGGUAUUGGAUACCAUCUGUCUUAAAGACCCAGUUUUAAAUACCAUCUAUG